AAAUGCUAUCAUACCUUUCCAUUUGCUGUUCCAUCUUAUCAAAGCCCAAUAUCGUGUGAUCUCAGAAGCUAAGCAGAGUUAGGCCUGGUUAGUAUUUGGAUGAGAGACUGCUGGGAAUAAUGAUUGCAAGCAUCUG
rnacentral:rRNA from 1 species